CAUCCCGUCACAUCCUCUCCUCAGUUCAAGUGACCAUAAUGAAAUUCCUGGCUGUCCUAGUUCUUGUGCUUGCUUGCUUUGCUGUCUUCUCGGAAGCCUGCGGUUGUUGUAAGAAAUGUUGUCACAGCAGCCACCACUCCCACCACAGCAAACACGGCAUCCCCAUCCCCAUCCCCUACCCCAUGUCUCACGGCAGCAGCGGCGGCAGUCACACCAACUUCCUCCCCAUCAUCCUCACCACAACCGGCUAAUCUGACUAUGUGGGUAUUUGAAGGAUGUGCGUUUCUCUACAUUCCAAGAUCCAGUCGGACACGUGUUGACCUGUGCGCUAUAUCAAUAAAUGUGGUUGUUCGCUAU